GGUCAAUAGUUCGUUGGUUA
rnacentral:siRNA from 1 species